AGCCAUUUUGAGCUUGCUUAAAUGCUUAGUGGCGAACGGGUGAGUAACGCGUGAGCAAUCUGCCUCAGAGUGGGGGACAACAGUUGGAAACGACUGCUAAUACCGCAUUAAGCCCACGGAUCCGCAUGGAUCAGCGGGAAAAGAUUUAUUGCUUUGAGAUGAGCUCGCGUCUGAUUAGCUAGUUGGUGAGGUUAACGGGCCCACCAAGGCGACGAUCAGUAGCCGGACUGAGAGGUUUGAACGGGCCACAUUGGGACUGAGACACGGCCCAGACUCCUACGGGAGGCAGCAGUGGGGAAUAUUGCACAAUGGGGAAACCCUGAUGCAGCGACGCCGCGUGGAGGAAGAAGGUCUUCGGAUUGUAAACUCCUGUUGUUAGGGACGAUGAUGACGGUACCUAACAAGGAAGUGACGGCUAACUACGUG
rnacentral:rRNA from 1 species